AUAUAAGGUCAGUGGCACAGCGAAAGUGUUAAGUAUUCCACCUGGGGAGUACGCCGGCAACGGUGAAAACUCAAAGGAAUUGACGGGGGCCCGCACAAGCGGAGGAACAUGUGGUUUAAUUCGAUGAUACGCGAGGAACCUUACCCGGGCUUGAAAGUUAAUGAAUAACCCUGAAAGGGGUUAGGCUCGCAAGAGACAUGAAACUAGGUGCUGCAUGGUUGUCGUCAGCUCGUGCCGUGAGGUGUCGGCUUAAGUGCCAUAACGAGCGCAACCCUUGUUGUUAGUUACCAUCAAGUGAUGUUGGGGACUCUAACGAGACUGCUACUGUAAGGUAGAGGAAGGUGGGGAUGACGUCAAAUCAGCACGGCCCUUACGUCCGGGGCGACACACGUGUUACAAUGGGCGGUACAGGGGGUUGCGACAUGGUGACAUGAAGCUAAUCUCCAAAAACCGUUCUCAGUUCGGAUCGGAGUCUGCAACUCGACUCCGUGAAGCUGGAUUCGCUAGUAAUCGCGCAU
rnacentral:rRNA from 1 species